rnacentral:rRNA from 1 species
UCCGUAGGUGAACCUGCGGAAAGGUCAUUG